rnacentral:rRNA from 1 species
UACAGAGGUCUCAAGCGUUGUUCGGAUUCAUUGGGCGUAAAGGGUGCGUAGGCGGCUCAGUAAGUCAGGCGUGAAACCUCCAGGCUCAACCUGGAGACGCCACCUGAUAACUGCUGUGGCUAGAGUCCGGUAGGGGAGCGUGGAAAUUCCUGGUGUAGCGGUGGAAAUGCGCAGAUAUCAGGAGGAACACCAGCGGCGAAGGCGGCGCUCUGGGCCGGAACUGACGCUGAGGAGCGAAAGCGUGGGGAGCAAACAGG